CCUACGGGUGGCAGCAGUGAGGAAUAUUGGUCAAUGGGCGGGAGCCUGAACCAGCCAAGUCGCGUGAGGGAAGACGGUCCUACGGAUUGUAAACCUCUUUUGCCGGGGGGCAACGGGGUCCUUGCGAGGGCCCGAUGAGAGUACCCGGAGAAAAAGCAUCGGCCAACUCCGUGCCAGCAGCCGCGGUAAUACGGAGGAUGCGAGAGUUAUCCGGAUUUAUUGGGUUUAAAGGGUGCGUAGGCGGGAUGGUAAGUCAGCGGUCAAAUGUCGGGGCGCAACCCCGGCCUGACGUUGAAACUGGCGACCUCGAGUGGGCGAGAAGUAAGCGGAAUGAGUGGUGUAGCGGUGAAAUGCAUAGAUAUUACGCAGAACGCCGAUUGCGAAGGCAGCAUACCGGCGCCCUACUGACGCUGAGGCACGAAAGCGUGGGUAUCGAACAGGAUUAGAUACCCUUGUAGUC
rnacentral:rRNA from 1 species